rnacentral:rRNA from 1 species
UACGUAGGUGGCAAGCGUUGUCCGGAAUUAUUGGGCGUAAAGCGCGCGCAGGCGGCCUUUUAAGUCUGGUGUGAAAGCCCACGGCUCAACCGUGGAAGGUCAUUGGAAACUGAAAGGCUUGAGUACAGAAGAGGAAAGCGGAAUUCCACGUGUAGCGGUGAAAUGCGUAGAGAUAUGGAGGAACACCAGUGGCGAAGGCGACUUUCUGGUCUGUAACUGACACUGAGGCGCGAAAGCGUGGGGAGCAAACAGG